UACAUAGGGUGCGAGCGUUAAUCGGAAUUACUGGGCGUAAAGCGUGCGUAGACGGUUACAUAAGUCGGGUGUGAAAGCCCCGGGCUCAACCUGGGAAUUGCAUUCGAGACUGCGUAGCUAGGGUGCGGAAGAGGGAAGCGGAAUUUCCGGUGUAGCGGUGAAAUGCGUAGAUAUCGGAAGGAACACCAGUGGCGAAAGCGGCUUCCUGGUCCAGCACCGACGUUCAGGCACGAAAGCGUGGGGAGCAAACAGG
rnacentral:rRNA from 1 species